AUAAGUAUAGAACGAAAUUCAUAACAGUGUGGUCGACAAGUAAAACGUUUGUUACUAAUUGAACUGAAAAAUUUACCUAUAACAAGUUUGUCAUUGGCGAUGAUUUUAUACUCACUCAGUCUAUCAGAGGCCUUCCAGUGGGGAUUUAAAUAAUCACUUGUUACACAUUUCGAUACAUAAAAUUAAACUUUCUUUUCACAAAGCUUUAAAGGAAUUUGUUUU
rnacentral:lncRNA from 1 species